AACGCACCUUGCGCCCUUUGGCCAUUCCGAAGGGCAUGCCUGUUUGAGUAUCAUGAACACCUCAACUCUUCAUGGUUUUCCAUGAUGAGCUUGGACUUUGGGGGACUUGCUGGCCUACAGUCAGCUCCUCUAAAAUAAAUCAGCUUGCCAGUGUUUGGUGGGUAUCGCAGGUGUGAUAACUAUCUACGCUUGUGGUUUUCCACCAAGUAACCUUCAGCAGUGGAGGUUCGCUGGAGCUCACAGAUGUCUCUCCUCAGUGAGGACAGCCCUUUGAACGUUUGAUCUCAAAUCAGGUAGGACUACCCGCUGAACUUAA
rnacentral:misc_RNA from 3 species